rnacentral:rRNA from 1 species
AAGCGUUAAUCGGAAUUACUGGGCGUAAAGCGCACGCAGGCGGUUUGUUAAGUCAGAUGUGAAAUCCCCGGGCUCAACCUGGGAACUGCAUCUGAUACUGGCAAGCUUGAGUCUCGUAGAGGGGGGUGGAAUUCCAGGUGUAGCGGUGAAAUGCGUAGAGAUCUGGAGGAAUACCGGUGGCGAAGGCGGCCCCCUGGACGAAGACUGACGCUCAGGUGCGAAAGCGUGGGGAGCAAACAGGAUUAGAUACCCUGG